GGGAAAACACUUGGGAAUGCUUGUGUGGCACACGGGAAGGCGGCCGCGCUUUGCCCGCAAAAGAUAAACGCAAAGUGCAACGAAACGUGUUAAAUGCCACUAGCCUUGCCUGAAGGCAUCAAGAUGUUUCUUGGAGGAUUCCCCCCUCUCCGUGCGAGGCAACAGGAGGCGGAUUUGGGGUUUCUCUCCUCGUAUUUUCUCUUUUCUCCCUGUAUUCAGGGAGCAGGCUCUGCCGCGCCGGAGCCCCAGAGGAGCAGUGGGUGACCAGCCUGAAGCCUACAGACCUUGAACUGCCUGCAGCACAUUGGGACUGUGGAAGAAAGUCUUUGGAUGAGGCACAGAGUCACAUUCUGGUAUAUGAAUUGUUUCUGUACCUACAAAGCCAGCCCACACCAUCAGAUGUGCUCUGCAACAUCCUGUCCUCAAUCUCUGCACAUGGAAAUAGCAGGAAAAUGGAUUCAGAGAAUCAUUAGGGUCAAAAACACCUCUAAGAUCACUGAGCCCAGCUAUUCACCCAGCACUGCCAAGCCCACACCAUGAAACCACAUCCCCAAAUGCCACAUCUACAUAUCUGAAAUCCCUCCAGGGAUGGUGACUCCACCACUGCCCUGGGCAGCCUGUUUCACUGCUUGACAUCCCUUCAGCAACAAAACUAUUCCAAAAAUCCAAUCUAAACCUCUCCUGGCACAGCUUGAGGCCAUUUCCACUUGUCCCAUCACCUGGGAGAAGAGACCAACUCCCACCUGGCUGCAGCCUCCCUGCAGGGAGUUGCAGAGAACAGCAAAGCCCCCCUGAGUCUCCUGCUCUCCUGACUGAACAACCAGCAGUCACAGCCUGGGGCUUCUGUGCUAUCCGUUAGAAAAAGGCAAAAUGCUAAUUGUGGGUCAGGUGUUUAAAGCCAAAAUUACUUGGGGUUUUUGGCUUUUCCACAACAUAUUUCAUUGGUUUCUGAGGAGAGCUCCAAACUGAAAACUAACAGCAUCUCCAGCUGGGUGUGUAUUCUGUAGUCAAUCUAACCUCAAUUUGGAAUUGCCCUUCCUUGAAAAAAGUCUUAGGAACAAUUAAACAAAAAUACACAAAAUUAAGUGAAGAGCUUUUACCAAAAUUCCUUUGGCCAACAGCACUUUUUCUGUUGAGUGAAUGUCGAGCACAGCAGAAGAUGCUGAGAGACUCCUGCCUGUGGUCUCAGGAGCAGUAAGAGUCAACAUCUUCAGAGGCAGGAAUCACUCCUGUGAGUGAAGAGAGGCUGCUUGUACCCCUCUCUGUACCUCUGCCUUUCAGCCUGUUGUCGCCCUGAUUUUUUAAGUUUUUCUCAGUCUUCUGAUGUUUACAUUCUUGUU